UCUCCUAUCAAAGAGGUUGCACGCCACGGC
rnacentral:sRNA from 1 species